rnacentral:rRNA from 1 species
UCCGGGCGCGCGGAAUUCAGGACCGAUCGUCGUUCGUUCGCGGACGGCGGUCGACUCGAUAUUUCCGCCGCCGACCCUCGACCGAGGGUGUCGGACGUCGCGACCCGUUCGCCACGGUCGAUGCUCAGGGACGCGCCUCGAGUUCGCCCGCGCUUCCGUUUCGGCGGUCGCGCGACGACGGCGCGUUUCCACUGUCAUCGGCGCGGACGGUAGCUUUGCGCGCGGGUAAUCGACGCGGCCCGUUCGUUCGGCGUCCUCGUACGUCGGACGGCGCUCGCGUCGACGCCGGUCAGCGACGAAUCUUCGGGCCUCUUUCCGACCCGUCUUGAAACACGGACCAAGGAGUCUAGCGUGCGCGCGAGUCGCGGGGUAUCCGAGUCGUAGUAGUCGUUUCGGCGGCGAACGCGACUCGUCACGAUACGAAACCCGUGUACGUACGUUGUGCGAAGGCGUAAUGAAAGUGAAGGGCGACGCUUCGCGCGUCGCCGAGGGAAGACGGUGUUCCGUGCACACGUUUCGCGGUCACGCGUGUACCGCGGCCGGAUACCCGCAUUCCCAGGGCGUCCCGCUCGUACGUCGGCGGUCGGGGUUUCGGCUUCGGUCGUCGGCGAACUGGGGCGCACCUACAGCGUGCACGCUGGUACCCGAAAGAUGGUGAACUAUGCCCGGCCAGGAUGAAGUCAGGGGAAACCCUGAUGGAGGUCCGCAGCGAUUCUGACGUGCAAAUCGAUCGUCUGAGCUGGGUAUAGGGGCGAAAGACUAAUCG